UCAACAUCUAAUUCUAAUCAAUCAUCAAUUAAUACAACUAAUAUCAGCUAAUUACAGAUAAAAGAGGGAUUAGGGUACCAAAAUGUGACGCAUCAAAUUCUAAGGAACCUCUUCUCCCCUCAUCUCAUGAAAGCGCGGCGGCAGAGACUUCGCUUCUGAUCGGACUCCCGGCGGACUCACCUCCGAACACACGCUCGUCUUUGUCUCAAUCCCCUCUGCCGAUCAUCUCUAUCACAUUCUUAUCAACUCUCCCUUCGAACUCGAGCAAAACGGAGACGACGGAGAGAAUCCUUCUCCUCCGAUCCACCUCCACUCUCAAACGACGGCCAGUAUCCUCACCUCCGACGAGACCGAGCACCGUGAUAAGCUAACGGCGAGUAAUCCUCACUCAUCUACCUCAUUCUCAAUUUCGUUCUCCCUUCUCUCAGAUAAUCAGCGCGUGCCAUCUCUUUGAUCGGCGACGAUUCGAAGAUGUCGGCAACGACGACUUAAGGUGAUGAAGAGGAAGGUUCGGAUUGAAGAGUGAUGAUGUUGUUGAUGGUGAUCGCUAGGAUGCGGUUAUAGUGAAGAUUGAAGGAGAAGAUUGAAGUCGUGAAGAUGAUUCUUGAAUCAAUAUCUUUGGUGACGAUUUUUCAAGUCUUUUGAUUAUUCUCUCUCCUUCCCCAAUUCUGCUGCGUUUUUGUUUUUGUUGAUUAGGAAGAUGAUUUUCUCAGAAGUGAAAUUGGAGAGUCAUGAUUGAAGUGUGAAGAAAUUUCUAACGAAGGUUAUGGUGAUUUGAAGGUAGAUUGAAGAGUGAUCGAUUGAGAGGUUGAAGAUUGGCGAAGGUUGCGGAUGAUGAAAAUUGCAGAGAGGAUGAAUCAAGGUCCUGAGAGAGAUAGAUGAAGUUCUGAGAAAAAAGUUUGUUACAUUUUUUUUGGUUUCUGUUAUCUGGUGAAGAAGAUAAUGAAUCGGUUAGGGAAAGUUUGUUACAGGUGAAGAUUGAAAAAAAUAGAGAGAGUUUUCAGUUAGGAGUUUGUUACGUUUUUUGUUCUGAUAAUUUUCUGUUAUGUCUCUCCUCUGAAUUCUGUUAUGUGAAUUUGUAUUCUUCUCAAUCUGAUUUUUUCAUCGUGAUGGUUUUGAUUCGGUUUUUUCCUCAGGUGCAGGAUUUUUGAUUUUGAUGCAGCAAGUGGCGGUUUAGAGCUAGGCCGUUUUCUUGGAUUGUAUGGAAGCUGAUUUUUUUAGCAUAGCUUUUGUUAUAUAAUUUUCUCUCUAGUGUAAGCCAAACUAGGAUGUACUGGAUGUAAGGGUUUUGGUUUGAAGUAAUCUUCUUAGUAUGGUUUCUUUAUGAUAUUUUCCUGUAUUGUGAUUGUAACGGAUUGGACUUGGAAACAUCAUAAUUCCUUGGGCUUUGUUGAAUUGGAAUAUGAUAACAUCAUUUUUUUU